rnacentral:rRNA from 1 species
AACGAACGCUGGCGGCAGGCCUAACACAUGCAAGUCGAGCGAGGACUUCGGGUCUAGCGGCUGACGGGGGAGUAACGCGUGGGAAUAUGCCCUUCUCUACUGAACAGCCCUGGGAAACUGGGAGUAAUACCGUAUACGCCCUAUGGGUGAAAGAUUUAUCGGAGAAGGAUCAGCCCGCGUUGGAUUAGGUAGUUGGGGGGGUAAUGGCCUACCAACCCGACGAUCCAUAGCUGGUUUGCGAGGAUGAACAGCCACACUGGGACUGAGACACGGCCCAGACUCGUGAGGGAAGCAGCAAUGGGGACUCCUAGACAAUGGGGGCCACCCUGAGCUAGCCAUGCCGAGUGAGUGAUCAAGGCCUUAGGGUUGUAAAGCUCUUUCGGCUGGGAAGAUAAUGACGGUACCAGGAGAAGAAGCCCCGGCUAACUCCGUG